GAGUGCAAAGCAAGAAUAACAUUCCAAGCUACCUUGGAGUGUACUAACGUUUUAGGCACUGCUGAUUACCUGUAUUUAUAUGGUGUCACGCAGGAAUCAUUAAAUUCUUUCAUCAUUUGUGUAAAGAUUAUCCUCUGCAGCUCGAAUCUCGAUUUAUUUUCGAGAAAAUUGACCAAUAAGUUAAAACGAUAGUUUGGAUUAGAGCAACUCUGAAAAGUCUUCGUUGUUGGAUAGAGUACAAUUUUUCUAGAUCGCAAGGAUACCAGACAACAUAUGUACAACAUUUUCAUCAAACUUGUCUUCAUUUUUCUGAUGCUUGGUGACCAUGGUUGGGACCUCAUCAAGUUUUCAAAAUUCACCUGGGUUGCCUCUUCUGGUGCCCCCGAGAACCAAAAACUUGAUCCGAAGGACACUAGCCCUGGCUCCGUGGUUCUGCCUAGUUGGUACAAGAACGAGGUCGCCCCGAUUCCAACGCGGGUUCAGCCGGGUGACCCGAAGGAUGACGUCAUCAACGUGAGCCCUUACUACUGGCGCAAGAACCCCGCCUACUUCCUAUGGGAACACCAACCCUGCGAGAACUACAAGGCACAUCUCGACUCGCAAACCAACUACCGUCGGACGGCGGGCUGCGUGAAAGUGGCGCUCAGACUGAAGAAGUACCAGGAGGCGGAGUUGGCCAGGGGCAACAAGGUGUCGGCUAACUGUUCCAAAAUUAUCUCGGGCUCUUGUUUCGAAUUUCGGGGUUUUAAAGGUCGCUGCUAUAUUCACGUACAACCCGGCGAAGACACGCAUAAAUACGUGCACGUCAUUGACUGCCCUUAGAGAUACAAUGGACCAAUACUGCCUUGAUAAGGAAGAACGCCGUAUGAACCUUCAGGCGUUGCUAAAUUGCUCUUGAUAAAACACGAAUUUCCUGGAAAAUUUAUGAACAUUUGUCUUCCAAUUUUUCAGAUAAUUUUGUUCGCAAUGUCACCUGAAACCCCUGAAACUUUCGAAGCAAAAUUUUCAUAACUUUCCUUAAAAAUAAACAUUUUAUCGAAGGAAAUUUGGAAAAUCUCGUAGUUCAUACGGCGUUCUUCCUUAGCAAGACAGAAUAGACAAAAAACAAUUCUUAACAUUAGACUUGUUGAAAAAAAAGAGAAAAAAAUUGAAAAAGUAGUACAAUAUGCAUAACAACCAGCAGAGCCGGAUUAAGGGGGAGGCCACAUGGGCCGCGGCCCAUGGCGGCAAUUUAGGGGGGCGGCAAAUGUUGUAAUUUUUUCAAAUGUAGGUAUCAAGAAAAAAAUCUGAUUCAGAAAAAAAAUACAAACGAGAAAAGGCGGAAAAAGCUCUCAUUUCCUGAGAGUUAAAGUAUAGUAAUUUCUAAUUUGUUCGUCAAAUGAUACAGAAGAAGUUGAGGGAGAAUCCAAACGCGCAAUUUGGUCCGGAGCGGCGCGGCGCAGAGAGCAACGAUGACGAGGACUUGAGAUGGAAAGGAGAAGCCCUCGGCGCGCCGGUCAGCAUGAAACACAUAUUAGCGCCUACAAGACUCCAUGAAUACUUCACGCAUUGCGUCAAACGUAAAGCGGUCAGCAGCGAUCGGCGCGUGAAACGCAUAGCGCCUACAUGACUGUAGAGAUACUUCACGCAUUGCGCCAAAAACCGUGCGGUUGGCAAGGUGGCGGAAAUUAAAAAUAUUAAACCACAUUCAUGUUUAUGCUUUCAUAAUUUUUUCGUUCUUUUCUUAUAAAUGAAAGGCCUCGUCCACACAGAGAUAGGUUUACGGAACUUAAUUUUCGUGGAAAGUUCUGUGAACUUUUGCUAAUGUUGACAGGGCUUCCACCAAAAAUGUGCCCAACGCAGGUAAACGCGUCUUAUGCACCCCUCCCCCUCCUCCACCGGCACGUUCACUUGACGGUUUGUAUCGGUGUUUCAAAACGAAUGAGAAGGGGCGGCAAAAUAAAGGCGGCCCAUGGGCGGCAAGUAGGUAAAUCCGGCUCUGAAAACCAGUAAAAUUAUAUGGACGAGUUUUAGGAUUCUAAAGGUUUACAGUUAUUUUUCAUUAGGAAGAUUUAUGAAACAGAAAGGCAACAGCAUCUUGGCAAUGCAAAUAUUUCAAUAGCCAUGAAAAAAAAGAGAUAAAAAUGUAAGAAACAAGCGCUCCUAUGCAACUUUGCGUGCGGCUCGUAGGCACAUUUUGCUGUGCGAAGGAAGAACUUCAUAUAAAUGUCCGGGUUUUGUCAUACUUUUCAAUAAAAGCACACAUUUUCUAGAGGAGAUAUGCACUUUUAUUCGAAUUUCCAGGCAGAUUUUACACCAAAAUCACUGAAAAAAAUAAUACGUUGUUUUAUUAUCUGGGAUGUCAAAAAUGUGUCUGGCUAUUCUAAGAUGCUGCCAUUACGGGCCCGCAGUUAAUUUUACAUCCUGUGAAUGCAAAUUCAACUGCGUGAGCAAUCAAGGCAGCAUCUUAGGAUCACCAGACACAUUUUUGACAUCCUAGGUGCUGAAACAGCAUACCAUUUUUUCGGUGUGCGUUUUUGAAUGCAUUUGAAUAUUUCAAGGAAAAACGCACACUAUUAAAUCUUAGAAAAAUGAAACU
rnacentral:lncRNA from 1 species